AUUGAACGCUGGCGGCAGGCUUAACACAUGCAAGUCGAGCGGUAGCACAGGGGAGCUUGCUCCCUGGGUGACGAGCGGCGGACGGGUGAGUAAUGUCUGGGAAACUGCCUGAUGGAGGGGGAUAACUACUGGAAACGGUAGCUAAUACCGCAUAACGUCGCAAGACCAAAGAGGGGGACCUUCGGGCCUCUUGCCAUCAGAUGUGCCCAGAUGGGAUUAGCUAGUAGGUGGGGUAAUGGCUCACCUAGGCGACGAUCCCUAGCUGGUCUGAGAGGAUGUCCAGCCACACUGGAACUGAGACACGGUCCAGACUCCUACGGGAGGCAGCAGUGGGGAAUAUUGCACAAUGGGCGCAAGCCUGAUGCAGCCAUGCCGCGUGUGUGAAGAAGGCCUUCGGGUUGUAAAGCACUUUCAGCGAGGAGGAAGGUGGUGAACUUAAUACGUUCAUCAAUUGACGUUACUCGCAGAAGAAGUACCGGCUAACUCCGUG
rnacentral:rRNA from 1 species